AUUGAACGCUGGCGGUAGGCCUAACACAUGCAAGUCGAACGGCAGCACAGUAAGACCUUCUUCUUACGUGUGGCGAGUGGCAGACGUGUGAGGAAUACAGCGGAAUCUACGUUGUCGGGGGGGAAAUCGUAGGGAAACUUGCGCUAAUACCGCAUACUACCUACGGGUGAGAGGAGGGGCUCUUCGGACCUUGCGCGAGUGAAUGAGCCGAUGGCGGAUUAGCUAGUGGGCGGGGUAAAGGCCCACCAAGGCGACGAUCCGUAGCUGGUCUGAGAGGAUGAUCAGCCACACUGGAACUGAGACACGGUCCAGACUCCUACGGGAGGCAGCAGUGGGGAAUAUUGGACAAUGGGCGCAAGCCUGAUCCAGCCAUACCGCGUGGAUGAAGAAGGCCUUCGGGUUGUAAAGCACUUUUGUCGGGAAAGAAAAGAAGAAGGUUAAUACCCCGCUGUUCUGACGGUACCCAAAGAAUAAGCACCGGCUAACUUCGUG
rnacentral:rRNA from 1 species